AAAAGAAGAAGAGAAAGUAGAAAUUUGAGGAGUCUCAGGACGCCAAUUAUUUCUCGCACAGGUGCACUCUACAUCUCCGGAAGUUGUUGUAUCGCACGGGUAUCUUUUUCUCUUUGCUCUCUUCCUUUUCUUUGAUUUUGAAACAU
ensembl:ncRNA C04H4.6 ncRNA